UGUUACGGUCGGGACGCCAGUCAACCCACGAGGUGGGUCAGGGAACCCGGUGCGAAUCCGGGACUGACGCGCAGCGGUGAGGGGGACGGCCGCGGUACAGGCCACUGGGCUCCCUGCCUGGGAAGGCGCCGCGGCCGGUCGAACCCGAGUCCGAAGACCUGCUGGCGACCGGCGUCCACC
rnacentral:ncRNA from 2 species